UACGUAGGGUGCAAGCGUUGUCCGGAAUUAUUGGGCGUAAAGAGCUCGCAGGCGGUUUGUCGCGUCGAAUGUGAAAACCCGGGGCUCAACCCCGGGCCUGCAUUCGAUACUGGCAGACUAGAGUUCGGUAGGGGAGUCUGGAAUUCCUGGUGUAGCGGUGAAAUGCGCAGAUAUCAGGAGGAACACCGGUGGCGAAGGCGGGACUCUGGGCCGAUACUGACGCUGAGGAGCGAAAGCGUGGGGAGCAAACAGG
rnacentral:rRNA from 1 species